CCUACGGGAGGCAGCAGUGGGGAAUAUUGCACAAUGGGGGAAACCCUGAUGCAGCGACGCCGCGUGAGUGAAGAAGUAUUUCGGUAUGUAAAGCUCUAUCAGCAGGGAAGAGAAUGACGGUACCUGAGGAAGAAGCCCCGGCUAACUACGUGCCAGCAGCCGCGGUAAUACGUAGGGGGCAAGCGUUAUCCGGAUUUACUGGGUGUAAAGGUAGCGUAGACGGCGAAGAAAGUCUGAAGUGAAAGCCCGCGGCUCAACCGCGGAAAUGCUUUGGAAACUUUUUCGCUGGAGUACCGGAGAGGUAAGCGGAAUUCCUAGUGUAGCGGUGAAAUGCGUAGAUAUUAGGAGGAACACCAGUGGCGAAGGUGGCUUAUUGGACGGUAACUGACGUUGAGGCGCGAAAGCGUGGGGAGCAAACAGGAUUAGAUACCCGGGUAGUC
rnacentral:rRNA from 1 species